rnacentral:rRNA from 1 species
AUUCUGGCUCAGGAUGAACGCUGGCGGCGUGCUUAACACAUGCAAGUCGAACGGGAUCCCAGGAGCUUGCUCCUGGGUGAGAGUGGCGAACGGGUGAGUAAUGCGUGACCGACCUGCCCCAUACACCGGAAUAGCUCCUGGAAACGGGUGGUAAUGCCGGAUGCUCCAGUUGACCGCAUGGUCCUCUGGGAAAGCUUUUGCGGUAUGGGAUGGGGUCGCGUCCUAUCAGCUUGAUGGCGGGGUAACGGCCCACCAUGGCUUCGACGGGUAGCCGGCCUGAGAGGGCGACCGGCCACAUUGGGACUGAGAUACGGCCCAGACUCCUACGGGAGGCAGCAGUGGGGAAUAUUGCACAAUGGGCGCAAGCCUGAUGCAGCGACGCCGCGUGCGGGAUGACGGCCUUCGGGUUGUAAACCGCUUUUGACUGGGAGCAAGCCCUUCGGGGUGAGUGUACCUUUCGAAUAAGCACCGGCUAACUACGUGCCAGCAGCCGCGGUAAUACGUAGGGUGCAAGCGUUAUCCGGAAUUAUUGGGCGUAAAGGGCUCGUAGGCGGUUCGUCGCGUCCGGUGUGAAAGUCCAUCGCUUAACGGUGGAUCCGCGCCGGGUACGGGCGGGCUUGAGUGCGGUAGGGGAGACUGGAAUUCCCGGUGUAACGGUGGAAUGUGUAGAUAUCGGGAAGAACACCAAUGGCGAAGGCAGGUCUCUGGGCCGUCACUGACGCUGAGGAGCGAAAGCGUGGGGAGCGAACAGGAUUAGAUACCCUGGUAGUCCACGCCGUAAACGGUGGAUGCUGGAUGUGGGGACCAUUCCACGGUCUCCGUGUCGGAGCCAACGCGUUAAGCAUCCCGCCUGGGGAGUACGGCCGCAAGGCUAAAACUCAAAGAAAUUGACGGGGGCCCGCACAAGCGGCGGAGCAUGCGGAUUAAUUCGAUGCAACGCGAAGAACCUUACCUGGGCUUGACNUGUUCCCGACAGCCGUAGAGAUACGGUCUCCCUUCGGGGCGGGUUCACGGUUGUGCAUGGUCGUCGUCAGCUCGUGUCGUGAGAUGUUCGGUUAAGUCCCGCAACGAGCGCAACCCU